rnacentral:rRNA from 1 species
AGAGUUUGAUCCUGGCUCAGAAUCAACGCUGGCGGCGUGCCUCAGACAUGCAAGUCGAACGAUUAAAGCUCUCUUCGGAGAGUGCAUAAAGUGGCGCACGGGUGAGUAACACGUAAGUAAUCUACCCUCGGGUGGGGAAUAACAUCGGGAAACCGAUGCUAAUACCGCAUAAUGCAGCGGCACCGCAAGGUGACAGUUGUUAAAGGAGUAAUUCGCCUGAGGAGGAGCUUGCGGCAGAUUAGCUAGUUGGUAAGGUAAUGGCUUACCAAGGCUACGAUCUGUAACCGGUCUAAGAGGACGGUCGGUCACACUGACACUGAAUAACGGGUCAGACUCCUACGGGAGGCAGCAGUCGGGAAUUUUGGGCAAUGGGCGAAAGCCUGACCCAGCAACGCCGCGUGAAGGAUGAAGUAUUUCGGUAUGUAAACUUCGUAAGAAUAGGAAGAAUAAAUGACGGUACUAUUUGUAAGGUCCGGCUAACUACGUGCCAGCAGCCGCGGUAAUACGUAGGGAUCAAGCGUUGUUCGGAUUUACUGGGCGUAAAGGGCGCGUAGGCGGCAAUUCAAGUCAGCUGUGAAAUCUCCGGGCUUAACUCGGAACGGUCAGCUGAUACUGCUUUGCUAGAGUGCAGAAGGGGCAAUCGGAAUUCUUGGUGUAGCGGUGAAAUGCGUAGAUAUCAAGAGGAACACCUGAGGUGAAGACGGGUUGCUGGGCUGACACUGACGCUGAGGCGCGAAAGCUAGGGGAGCAAACGGGAUUAGAUACCCCGGUAGUCCUAGCCCUAAACGAUGAAUACUUGG